UGAGUAGGCUGGGCAAUCGCGCAAAAUGCAAAUUUUGUGAGGAAAGUCCGAGCUCCAUAGAGCAGGAUAACGGCUAACGGCCGCCGAGGGCAACCUUAGGGAAAGUGCAACAGAGAAAUACCGCCUGUUGGAUUUCCAACAGGUAAGGGUGGAAAGGCGAGGUAAGAGCUCACCGGCGCGCGGGGAACCGCAGCGCCCUGUAAACCCUAUCCGGAGCAACACCGACCGGGGAACACCUGCCUUGGCAGGGCCCGCUUGCUCGGCGGAUUCCUCAACGGGUGGCAUGACAGCGCCAGCAAUGGCGUUGCUAGAUAAAUGACUGCCUUCAACGACAAAACUCGGCUUACAGGCCUACUCACAAA
rnacentral:RNase_P_RNA from 1 species